rnacentral:rRNA from 1 species
CCUACGAGGGGCUGCAGUGAGGAAUAUUGGUCAAUGGGCGCGAGCCUGAACCAGCCAAGUAGCGUGAAGGCUGACUGCCCUCCGGGUUGUAAACUUCUUUUAUAAAGGAAUAAAGUGAGGCACGUGUGCCUUUUUGUAUGUACUUUAUGACUAAGGAUCGCCUAACUCCGUGCCAGCAGCCGCGGUAAUACGGAGGAUCCGAGCGUUAUCCGGAUUUAUUGGGUUUAAAGGGAGCGUAGAUGGGUUGUUAAGUCAGUUGUGAAAGUUUGCGGCUCAACCGUAAAAUUGCAAUUGAUACUGGCAGUCUUGAGUACAGUUGAGGUAGGCGGAAUUCGUGGUGUAGCGGUGAAAUGCGUAGAUAUCACGAAGAACUCCGAUUGCGAAGGCAGCUUACUAAACUGCCACUGACAUUGAGGCUCGAAAGUGUGGGUAUCAAACAGGAUUAGAUACCCGUGUAGUC